AUAUCAGUAAGCGGAGGAAAAGAAACUAACAAGGAUUGCCCCAGUAGCGGCGAGUGAACAGGCAAAAGCUCAAAGUGGAAAUCCAGCGGCACCAGGCCGUCGGAAUUGUAAUCUAGAGAGUCAAUGCGAAGGCAUGGCAGCGUCGCGUGAGUCCCUUGGAACAGGGCGCCAAAGAGGGUGAUAGCCCCAUACGCAGCGGCGGCCGGCUGUAGCAAAGGCCUCCAAGAGUCGGGUUGUUUGGGACUGCAGCCCUAAACGGGAGAUAAACUUCUUCUAAAGCUAAAUAUUUAUGGGAGACCGAUAGCGCACAAGUA
rnacentral:rRNA from 1 species